UCUCUGAAUGGGCACUCACAGAAUACAGCUGUGCCAUGAGCAAGAAAUAAAAUUUUAGUGUAUUAAGCUACUGAAAUUGUUAUAUUUGUUAUAGCAGUUAGCCUACUCUGAUUAAUACAUAGAUUUGAACCAUAAUGGGGUGCUUCAAUUUCAAGUUUUCAAAAUGCAAGGCACUGGCUUAGCAGUCAAGCAGCAGAAAACAAGAAAACUAAUUUCAGGAGCUAGAAAUAUGGUGACUCAUGUGGUGAAUAAAACAAAAAAACAAAAUUGGCAAAGUAUUUCCCAUGAUAACUUGAAAGGCAGACCAUGGGCAGCCUAUAGUCCUAGGAGAAGUGGCUGGAAUAAAUCCAUGUGAAACUUUAUUGGCAACCUUUGGCACAUAUUGUAAGAAAAAGAAGCACUUGGGAAAGAAUUGGCUUUUUGGCAGUAGAAAGAAAAAAAAAAUACAGAGGGUUCAGACUGAAGACUUAGAAAGCCUGACUAUUUCUAAACUCUAAACAGAAAGAAUAAAAAGAGCUUUCAGUGGGAAAGAACCAAUAAAAUUUUUCAGUUGAACUCAGAUCAACUCAGCCUAUGGGAAAACCAGAUUAAGGAUAUGUGUGGUUUGAAAUGAACUCAAUGUAGGCACCAUUAAAUUAGAGAAAGAGAGAGAAGAAUGGAGCUGAGAAAAUAAAGAAAUACAUCUUGAUAAUUAUGACUGGGAAAGGAUUUGGGGUAUGAUUAUUGGCACAUGGAAUCAAAUAGAAGAAAAUAGAUCAGAAGUCUAGGUUUGUGAGGGAAUUAUAUUUACAAAGAAACAUAAGCCAAAGUGAAAAAGUUCAACUGUUCAAAUUAGAAAACAGCUUUUGGGAUCUUCAGCUUUAUACUAACAGAAGGUGGACUGCAAAAGCUGUACUACACCCCAGGAGGGCAUAUUCCUUAAUUUCUACUCCAAAUGUGGCCAAGAAGAUUGUAGACAAUGGAGACCUACAGAGAUCAGUGGACACAUGGGACAUGGGAGUUUUUCCCAGGAAGCAGAUUCAAGAUCUAAUCAAAGAUAGCCAACAGAUCCAUGAAAAGAUGCUCAACAUCACUCAUCUUCAGGGAAAUGCAAAUCAAACGGCAAUGAGGUAUCAUCUCGCAUCUGUCAGAAUGCUUAAAAUCAAAAACACAAGAAACAAGUGUUGGUGAGGAUGGGGGGGGGGGAACCCCCCUGCACUGCUGGUGGGAAUGCAAACUGGUACAGCCACUCUGGAAAACAGUAUAGAGAUUCCUCAAAAAAUUAAAAACAGAACUAUCCUAUAAUUCAGUAAUUACAGUAGUGGAUUUACCCAAAGAAUACAAAAACCCUAAUUCAAAAGGAUAAAAGCACAUCUAUGUUUGCUGCAUUAUUUACAAUAGCCAAAUUAUGGAAGCAGCCCAAGUGUCCAUCAAUAGAUGAAUGGAUAAAGAUGAUAUGGUGUAUCAUUCAACCAUAAAAAGGAACAAAAUCUUGUCAUUUGCAACAAAAUGGAUAGAUCUAAAGGGUAUAAUGCUAAGUGAAAUAAGUCAACCAGAGAAAGACACCAUAUGAUUUCACUCAUGUUUAAUUUGAGAAGCAAAACAAAUGAACAACAACAACAAAAAAAGAUUUUUAAAAAACCAGACUCUUAAAUAUAGAGAACAAACUGAUGGUUAUUACAGGAAAGGUGGGUAGAGAAUGGGUGAAAUACAUAAUGAAGAUUAAGAGGUACAUUUAUCAUGAUGAGCAUUAAGUAAUGCAUGGAAGUGUU
ensembl:lincRNA